AUUGACGGGGACCCGCACAAGCGGUGGAGCAUGUGGUUUAAUUCGAAGCAACGCGAAGAACCUUACCAGGUCUUGACAUCCCACUGACCGGCAUGGAGACAUGUCUUUCCCUUCGGGGACAGUGGUGACAGGUGGUGCAUGGUUGUCGUCAGCUCGUGUCGUGAGAUGUUGGGUUAAGUCCCGCAACGAGCGCAACCCUUAAUCUUAGUUGCCAUCAUUUAGUUGGGCACUCUAAGGUGACUGCCGGUGACAAACCGGAGGAAGGUGGGGAUGACGUCAAAUCAUCAUGCCCCUUAUGACCUGGGCUACACACGUGCUACAAUGGACGGUACAGAGGGCUGCAAACCCGCGAGGGGGAGCCAAUCCCAGAAAACCGUUCCCAGUUCGGAUUGUAGGCUGCAACUCGCCUGCAUGAAGCCGGAAUCGCUAGUAAUCGUGGAUCAGCAUGCCACGGUGAAUACGUUCCCGGGUCUUGUACACACCGCCCGUCACACCACGAGAGUUUGUAACACCCGAAGUCGGU
rnacentral:rRNA from 1 species